GGCUCAGGACGAACGCUGGCGGCGUGCCUAACACAUGCAAGUCGAGCGGGGACAUGCGACGGAUCGGAAGUUUCGGAUGGAAGAGAAGAUGUAUGUUCUAGCGGCGGACGGGUGAGUAACGCGUGAGCAACCUGUCCUUCACAGGGGGAUAACACAGCGAAAGUUGUACUAAUACCGCAUGAGACCACGGCGGGACAUCCCGCAGGGGUCAAAGGAGCAAUCCGGUGAAGGGUGGGCUCGCGUCCGAUUAGAUAGUUGGUGAGGUAACGGCCCACCAAGUCGACGAUCGGUAGCCGACCUGAGAGGGUGAUCGGCCACAUUGGGACUGAGACACGGCCCAAACUCCUACGGGAGGCAGCAGUGGGGAAUAUUGGGCAAAUGGGGGAAACCCUGACCCAGCAACGCCGCGUGAGGGAAGAAGGUUUUCGGAUCGUAAACCUCUGUCCUUGGUGAAGAGGAAGAGACGGUAGCCAAGGAGGAAGCCCCGGCUAACUACGUGCCAGCAGCCGC
rnacentral:rRNA from 1 species